AUUGAACGCUGGCGGCAUGCCUAACACAUGCAAGUCGAACGAGUGGCGGACGGGUGAGUCAUGUCUGGGACCCUGCCUUAUGGGGGGGGCUACCUCCUGGAACCGGUGGCUAAUACCGCAUACCAUCAGAUUUUCCCUGAUGGUAUUAGCUUGUUGGUGGGGUAAGGGCUCACCAAGGCAACGAUCCCUAGCUGGUCUUAGAGGGUGAACGGCCACACUGGGACUGAGACACGGCCCAGACUCCUACGGGAGGCAGCAGUAGGGAAUAUUGCGCAAUGGGCGCAAGCCUGAGAGAGCAAUGCCGCGUGUAUGAAGAAGGCUUUCGGGUCGUAAAGUACUUUCGGCAGGGAGGCGGUACCCGAAGAGGAAGCACCGGCUAACUACGUGCCAGCAGCCGCGGUAAUAC
rnacentral:rRNA from 1 species